GGUGGGACAAAGGGCCGAGUCGCAGUCCCCACAGACCCAUGCGAAGCUCUCCAGAUUUUGGGCGAAGUCCGCAGAGAAGAAUUCGAAGGACGAAGUAGAAGAGAGAAUGAGAGAAAACGGAGGAUUUUGAUGAAAUGAUUUGGCAAAGUAAUCGGGAAAAUUGAUUCGCAAUCGAGUAGCUUUCCUCCCAAUCUUGCUCUUUGGGAGCUGGAAAGAUUGAUUUCAGCGACUCCUUCGGAAGGGUGAUUGGAUUCGUGAUCUCAAGCUUCCCUCUUGUUGUGGCUCUGGAGACAUGUUGGUGGGCCAGUCCUGUUUGAUCUCGAGGGCAUUGCCUAGCUUCUGUGAGCAAGAAUCCAAGUGGCUGUAUAUGACCUACCAGCUCCUUGAGAUCACGAACAGCAAACGCCCCCCAGGUGUGGUACCAGGGGAGCAAGGCGAAGCUAUGAAGAGUAAAAGGACAAAGUCACCAAAUCCCCAAGGUCCUUCCCUUGUUGAGGAACCGGCAUCCCCUCCUAAUGAAUCUGAUUGUCAGGGCCAUGGUGGUGGGGAGAACUCUGAUUCAAAUUCUCUUAUCAGUGCGGUUGGCCGAGACAACUCUAUAAACUGUCUUCUGCAUUGUUCUCGAUCUGAUUAUGGUGCCCUUGCAUCUCUCAACCGAAGCUUCCGUUCCCUGAUCCGGAGCGGCGAGCUUUACAAGCUGCGGCGGCAGUAUGGGAUCACCGAGCACUGGGUGUACUUCUCCUGCAGUGUCCUUGAGUGGGUUGCAUAUGACCCCUACCGUGAGCGCUGGAUCACCCUCCCAAGGAUGCCCCACAACGAUUGCUUCAUGUAUGCAGAUAAGGAGUCACUCGCAGUGGGCACCGAGCUCCUUGUUUUCGGCAAGGAGAUCACUUCUCAUGUAGUACUGAGAUACAGCAUUCUAACAAAUUCAUGGUCUCCUGGUCUAGAGAUGAACUCCCCUAGGUGUUUAUUUGGAUCUGCUGGCCUUGGAGAGAAGGCUAUUGUAGCCGGUGGCACUGAUGCUCAAGGUACCAUAUUGAACUCUGCAGAGCUCUAUAAUUCUGAAACCCAAAAAUGGGAAACUCUUCCGAGCAUGAAUAAGCCAAGGAAGAUGUGUUCAGGCAUCUUCAUGGAUAAGAAAUUCUAUGUGAUAGGUGGCAUGGCGAGCAACACAGAGUUGCUGACAUGUGGAGAAGAGUAUGAUUUGGAGAAAGGCAUCUGGAGGGUCAUCCCAAACAUGUCCUCAGGGCUCAAUGGUGUGGCAGGUGCACCUCCACUUGUUGCGGUAGUUAACAAUGAAUUGUAUGCUGCAGAUUAUGCAGAAAAGGAGGUGAGGAAAUAUGAUAAGGAGAAUAACUCAUGGAUCACUCUUGGUAGAUUGCCUGAGAGGCCGGAUUCAAUGAAUGGAUGGGGGCUUGCAUUUCGGGCAUGCGGUGAACGACUCAUAGUUAUUGGUGGAGCGAGGGCAAUGGGAGGAGGGACUAUUGAGCUAAAUUCAUGGAUACCAAAAGAGGGCCCGCCAGAGUGGAACCUCAUUGCAAGCAAGCACUUAGGAAGCUUUGUGUAUAAUUGUGCUGUGAUGGGCUGCUGAUUUAUUAUGAUGCCACAUGGAUCACAUAUCUCCUUUCCUGAUGGAAGGAUGUGCAAAAUUGGUUUGUUGGAGGGCAUAAAAUACUGAUUCUGCCUAAUGGCUCAUCUGGAGAAGGAAAUAUAUCAUGGACUCCAUGAAUAAAGUUUCAUUCUCUUAUCUGAUAGAGCAAGUACAGAGGAGCCUUUCAUGAGAUCUUUUUUUUUCAAAAAGUGGAAUAAGCUUUGAAGUUGAACCAAUAGAGAAGUGGUGCCCGAGAAAUGUUUUUGUUGUUAAUGUCCUGUUCAACAAUGGUCAAAAGGACAAGGAAGAGGUGUAGAUCUAAGAAUAUCUUGAUGGAAGCUGUCCAUUGAACGUGUGCCAGUAGAGGAUGUUAUCGAAAUGAUUUGGUGUAGAAGAACUUUCAAAGUUGACUGUCUGUAUGCAGAUUAAAAUAAUAAAACUUGUUACGGUAUCAGUCAGCAUUUCUUGGGCAUGAAGACAACAGUCAGAUUCUGGGAUGUGUUAGAGAUUUUGACUUGUUUUGAGCUUGAUUUAAAUAGAAGAAAUUAAUUUCUUCAAUCA